GAUGAACGCUGGCGGCGUGCCUAAUACAUGCAAGUCGAGCGAACAGACGAGGAGCUUGCUCCUCUGACGUUAACGGCGGACGGGUGAGUAACACGUGGAUAACCUACCUAUAAGACUGGGAUAACUUCGGGAAACCGGAGCUAAUACCGGAUAAUAUAUUGAACCGCAUGGUUCAAUAGUGAAAGACGGUUUUGCUGUCACUUAUAGAUGGAUCCGCGCCGCAUUAGCUAGUUGGUAAGGUAACGGCUUACCAAGGCAACGAUGCGUAGCCGACCUGAGAGGGUGAUCGGCCACACUGGAACUGAGACGCGGUCCAGACUCCUACGGGCGGCAGCAGUAGGGAAUCUUCCGCAAUGGGCGAAAGCUUGACGGAGCAACGCCGCGUGAGUGAUGAAGGUCUUCGGAUCGUAAAACUCUGUUAUUAGGGAAGAACAAAUGUGUAAGUAACUAUGCACGUCUUGACGGUACCUAAUCAGAAAGCCACGGCUAACUACGUG
rnacentral:rRNA from 1 species